rnacentral:rRNA from 1 species
ACUCCUACGGGAGGCAGCAGUGGGGAAUAUUGCACAAUGGGCGCAAGCCUGAUGCAGCCAUGCCGCGUGUAUGAAGAAGGCCUUCGGGUUGUAAAGUACUUUCAGCAGUGAGGAAGGCGGAGUCGUUAAUAGCGGCCUCGUUUGACGUUAGCUGCAGAAGAAGCACCGGCUAACUCCGUGCCAGCAGCCGCGGUAAUACGGAGGGUGCGAGCGUUAAUCGGAAUUACUGGGCGUAAAGCGCAUGCAGGUGGUUCGUUAAGUCAGAUGUGAAAGCCCGGGGCUCAACCUCGGAAUUGCAUUUGAAACUGGCAGACUAGAGUACUGUAGAGGGGGGUAGAAUUUCAGGUGUAGCGGUGAAAUGCGUAGAGAUCUGAAGGAUACCGGUGGCGAAGGCGGCCCCCUGGACAGAUACUGACACUCAGAUGCGAAAGCGUGGGGAGCAAACAGGAUUAGAUACCCUGGUAGCACAGAG